CUCCAUCAAGAAAACAAGCAAUUAUGAAUAAGCUUCUCUGCAACGCAGGAUAUUACAAUAUGCAUGCAGUCAAGCACAAAACCACCUUAACAGAAAAAUGAAGAAACAUCAUGUACAAGAAAGUGACCCCAUAGUUGUCUAAUAAAAGACUAAAAGUCGAGAGCAUUGGAUAGGAUGUCUACCGCUUGUGGUCGUUUAAGGUCUUACCCUCGAAAAAUUCACCAGGCACAUGUUCGGGAUCCUCUGGAUUGUACAUGAUGUACUUCUGUGGGUUAUUACCCGUU
rnacentral:lncRNA from 1 species